AACGAACGCUGGCGGCAUGCCUAACACAUGCAAGUCGAACGGGACCUUCGGGUCUAGUGGCGCACGGGUGCGUAACGCGUGGGAAUCUGCCCUUGGGUGCGGAAUAACUUCCCGAAAGGGAUGCUAAUACCGCAUAAUGUCGCAAGACCAAAGAUUUAUCGCCCAAGGAUGAGCCCGCGUAGGAUUAGCUAGUUGGUGGGGUAAAAGCCUACCAAGGCGACGAUCCUUAGCUGGUCUGAGAGGAUGAUCAGCCACACUGGGACUGAGACACGGCCCAGACUCCUACGGGAGGCAGCAGUGGGGAAUAUUGGACAAUGGGCGAAAGCCUGAUCCAGCAAUGCCGCGUGAGUGAUGAAGGCCUUAGGGUUGUAAAGCUCUUUUACCCGGGAUGAUAAUGACAGUACCGGGAGAAUAAGCUCCGGCUAACUCCGUG
rnacentral:rRNA from 2 species